ACUAGACAUGAUAAUAUUAGACUCAGUAAGGUGUGUCAUCUUACUGAGUUAAGACCUUUUUGGCUGGAUUAUUUUGAAAUCAUCUUUUAUUGAAAAGACUAAUCAUUGUUCAUAACAGCAUUUUGUUUUAGUUAAUCUUUUCUCAUCAAGAAUGCUUCUGUAAAUUUUUUAUUUUUGGAGGGAACAUCACUGAAGGCAGCUAGCAUACACAGUUCCUGUGAUAUGUUGGAAGAAUUGAUCGAGGCAGCUCUAAUGUCAACAAUUUGUUAGCUCAGAUUCUAUUGGUGGAUAUAAAUGAUUGCUUUUUGUGAUUUGUAAUGUAAGCUCAUCUUUGAUAUGUUCACUGAAAGUAUAUUUGGGACAAUUCCAGUAGAAGAAAAGGUCUACAAGAUCCGUGGAUCCUUUCCCCUUCUGAUCCUUAAAGAGACAGUGCUGUCAGCCAACAGACUCUUCACUGUCUCCCAUUAAACAUUUGUGGGUGCCACACUACAGAGAUAAGAUGUUAAGAUGGUAGCACAGAGCAGUGGACAGCCCUGAAGAGGAAGAAUAACUGAAAAGCAGAGAUGACAUCAUUAGAGAACAUGGCCAGGUAUACAUACUGGUGAUAUGUACCUUUUAUAUUCAGAUCUUUCAAGCAUUUACCCUGGUCACACGUUCUCCUUAUAUAUGCUUUUCCCUACUAGUGGUUAACCUGUGGGACAGUAUACUUGUUAUAUGAGGAAAAGAGGGACAAAAAUCUUUUCUUGUUACUUAAUUUGUCAUGACAAUUGAAUAAAUAUAUUUUGUUUUGAACAAAUGAUUUCUCUGGCCUUAUAAAAUUAAAUACAUCAUUGAGAGUUGAUGGGCUAUGUUAGUGGCUGUUGGAUGGUUCAUAAGGAAUUUUGAAUCUGGGGGGUUCAGGUACAAGGAGGACCUUGUAUAAUUGUAGUAGAGACCCAUAAAAUUUGGUCUGUUGUAAUACAUUCUUAAAAUGUCUGUGUUCCAG